UAGUACCGUGAGGGAAAGGUGAAAAGAACCCCGGGAGGGGAGUGAAAUAGAACCUGAAACCCUGCACUUACAAGCUGUGGGAGCACAUUACUUGUGUGACCGCGUACUUUUUGUAGAACGGGCCAACGAGUUACGUUAAGUAGCAAGGUUAAGCACUUAAGGUGUGGAGCCGUAGCGAAAGCGAGUCUUAAAUGGGCGAUUAAGUUACUUGGCGUAGACCCGAAACCGGGCGACCUAUCCAUGAGCAGGUUGAAGCGAAAGUAAAAUUUCGUGGAGGACCGAACCCACGAGCGUUGAAAAGCUCGGGGAUGACUUGUGGAUAGCGGUGAAAUUCCAAUCGAGCCCGGAGAUAGCUGGUUCUCCCCGAAAUAGCUUUAGGGCUAGCCUCAAGCGUAGAGAAACGGAGGUAGAGCACUGAAUGUCCUAGGGGGUAUUGCACUUACCGAAGACUAUCAAACUCCGAAUGCCGUUUUCUUUUACUUGGGAGUCAGACUGUGGGUGAUAAGAUUCAUAGUCAAAAGGGCAACAGCCCAGAUCGUCAGCUAAGGUCCCUAAAUGUACGUUAAGUGGUAAAGGAUGUGGGAUUGCACAGACAACCAGGAUGUUGGCUUAGAAGCAGCCACUCAUUUAAAGAGUGCGUAAUAGCUCACUGGUCGAGUGAUCCUGCGCCGAAAAUUUCCGGGGCUAAAACGUACUACCGAAGCUACGGCAUCAUUUAUGAUGGGUAGGGGAGCUUCGUAUGCAGGCUGAAGCAUGACCGUAAGGACAUGUGGACAGUAUACGAGUGAGAAUGUUGGCAUGAGUAGCGAGACGUGGGUGAGAAUCCCACGGGCCGUAAACCCAAGGUUUCCAGGGGAAGGUUCGUCCGCCCUGGGUUAGUCGGGACCUAAGCCGAGGCCGAAAGGCGUAGGUGAUGGACAACAGGUUGAUAUUCCUGUACCGCCAAUAAGCGUUUGAGAGAUGGAGUGACACAGUAGGAUAAGCUAACCGUACUGUUGGUUAUGUACGGCUAAGCAUUGAGGCAGUCUAAAUAGGCAAAUCCGUUUAGACAAUGCUAGGAUGUGAUGGGGAAGCCCUUCGGGGCGAAGUAGCUGAUUUCACACUGUCAAGAAAAGCUUCUAUCGAGUUUAAAGGCGCCCGUACCGUAAACCGACACAGGUGGGUGAGGAGAGUAUCCUAAGGCCAGCGAGAGAACUAUUGUUAAGGAACUCGGCAAAAUGACCCCGUAACUUAGGGAGAAGGGGUGCCUGUCUAUGACAGGCCGCAGAGAAUAGGCCCAAGCGACUGUUUACCAAAAACACAGGUUUCUGCUAAGUCGCAAGACGAUGUAUAGGAGCUGACGCCUGCCCGGUGCUGGAAGGUUAAGGGGAUCUGUUAGAGCAAUCGAAGCAGUGAACUUAAGCCCCAGUAAACGGCGGCCGUAACUAUAACGGUCCUAAGGUAGCGAAAUUCCUUGUCGGGUAAGUUCCGACCCGCACGAAAGGCGUAACGAUUUGGGCACUGUCUCAACAAUAGACUCGGUGAAAUUGUAAUCCCGGUGAAGAUGCCGGGUACCUGCGACAGGACGGAAAGACCCCAUGGAGCUUUACUGUAGCUUGACGUUGGGUCUUGGUACUACAUGUACAGGAUAGGUGGGAGACUAUGAAGCAUGGACGCCAGUCUGUGUGGAGUCAUCCUUGGGAUACCACCCUUGUAGUACUGGGAUCCUAACCAUAGGCCUUGAAUCAGGUCUUGGAACACCGUCAGGUGGGCAGUUUGACUGGGGCGGUCGCCUCCUAAAAAGUAACGGAGGCGCUCAAAGGUUUCCUCAGCACGGUCGGAAAUCGUGCGAAGAGUGUAAAGGCAAAAGGAAGCUUGAUUGCAAGACAUACAGGUCGAGCAAGGACGAAAGUCGGACUUAGUGAUCCGGUGGUUCCGCAUGGAAGGGCCAUCGCUCAACGGAUAAAAGCUACCCUGGGGAUAACAGGCUUAUCUCCCCCAAGAGUCCACAUCGACGGGGAGGUUUGGCACCUCGAUGUCGGCUCAUCACAUCCUGGGGCUGUAGUAGGUCCCAAGGGUUGGGCUGUUCGCCCAUUAAAGUGGUACGCGAGCUGGGUUCAGAACGUCGUGAGACAGUUCGGUCCCUAUCCGUCGCAGGCGUAGGAAAUUUGAGAAGACCUGUCCUUAGUACGAGAGGACCGGGAUGGACGUACCUCUGGUGUACCAGUUGUUCUGCCAAGGGCAUGGCUGGGUAGCUAUGUACGGAAUGGAUAAGCGCUGAAAGCAUCUAAGCGCGAAGCCAACUUCAAGAUAAGAUUUCCCACCGUAAGGGUAAGACCCCAGGAAGACUACCUGGUUGA
rnacentral:rRNA from 1 species